AGGGUUGUGGCUCAGUGGUAGAGCACUUGUCUCCCAUGCACGAGGCACUGGGUUCCAUCCUCAGCACCACAU
rnacentral:tRNA from 1 species